rnacentral:pre_miRNA from 1 species
GGGCUCUGACCUGAGACCUCUGGGUUCUGAGCUGUGAUGUCGCUUCUGAGCUGGGACCUCCGGGGUCUUGGUUCAGGGUCG